rnacentral:rRNA from 1 species
CCCCUAGAUGUUCUGGGCCGCACGCGCGCUACACUGAACAGUUCAACAAGUCUUAACCUUGGCCGAUAGGUCUGGGUAAUCUUUGAGCGCUGUUCGUGAUUGGGAUAGACCUUUGCAAUUAUGGGUCUUCAACGAGGAAUUCCUAGUAAACGCAAGUCAUCAGCUUGCAUUGAUUACGUCCCUGCCCUUUGUACACACCGCCCGUCGCACCUACCGAUUGAAUGGUCCGGUGAAAUCUCGGGACGGCGGCUCGGUCGCUUGCGUCCGACUGCUGAAACUUGAUUAAACCAUAUCAUUUAGAGGAAGGUGAAGUCGUAACA